UCUGUGCUCUGAGCUGUCAGCACAGAAAAGAACCGUGAGAUCGUGACCUGAGCCAAAGUUGGACGCUCAACUGACUGAGCCACGUAGGUGCCCCUAAACUUUUUAAGUCUUUCUAAUGCAAUUCAUGAGUGUGUUGCAUAUGUGUUUGACUUAAGUACUGUUUUAAUUUAUACAAAGACCUUAUGUUUUAGAAGAAUGAAAAAAUACAGUAUUUGAUAUAUUUUUCUUCUAGUUGAUCGUUCUCGGAAAACUGAGCCCUGAAGACUUGCAACCUUUAAUUUCAGAUCACCAAAAUACAUUUUAUAUUGUUUAUUUCAGGUGAAAAAUUAGACGUGAUGUUUCUGCAACAUUAGUUUACAUCGGGCCAUUAACCUUAUGUUCUGUCACAUCAGAGCGAAACUAUGGAUAAGAAAGGAAAACCAGAAUGGGACUAUUUGUUAAGAUUAUUAUUUUAGAUUUAGCGUCUGAUGCAAAACAAGAGAAGUCAUCUUGUUUCAUCCCAACAGACGCAGAAUGAAUAAGGAACUCUUCUUUUCUGAGCUGAUAGUGGUUCCUCUUUCGAGACACCUUUUCUGCCACGUUUAAGCAUAAAGCACUGAAUCUCUGCACCGAAGGAUUGAGGCGUAUGAAUCAACAAGAUUGUGGUUCUCGCCGGCAGAUACAACUUUCAGAAAUUAUAACUAUCUUAUAUGCCUUGAAGGGUGGUAUAUUUGCAUCGAAAAAAUAAAUUCAUCUUCUCUGGGAAAAGAGAAAAAGAAAAAGCAACAAAGAGGAAAACCCUUUUUACGAUCCAAUUGGUAGUGUCCUUCAAAUCUCUCUUUCUCUGUAAUUGAAAGAUUGGUAUCAUAGAUAUAAUUUUGAGAUCUUGUCUAUAAUAUGAAUUCUAUAUUAUUAAUUGCUAAGUUGUUUUUGCAUACAACUUUAUGAACAUCUCUAUUCUUUAGAACAUAUAUUGUGAAGUGAAUUUUUUUCUGGAAUCACAGGGGAUAUUCCUGUCAUCUGGGAAGAUUAUAUGGAUUUACACCUGUAGAGUGCCCUCUCUGUCACUGACAGGGCUUUUCUGAGUCUGAGCUCCAUGGGGGACUCAAUACAAGGUAGGGAUGCACAGAACUCAGGGAGCACGUUGCGGGGAAUAUUCUCCGGACUGGGGAGUGAAGAGAUUUUGAGACUUCUGGUCUUGACUAUGCCACAUACCUGAUACACGGCCUCAGGCGAACAAUUAUCCAUGUGGCCUUUGUUUCCUCAUCUGUAAAAUAUCGUGGUUGGAUGUGAUAAUAUCUCAGCUCCCUUCAAACUUCGACAUUUUCUUAUCCUCAAUGACAGUGAGCACACUGAGUCAGUUGCCCAGCCCGAUACUCCCACGGAACGCUUGAUGAACUUGGUCUUUCAAGAAGACCGUCACUGCACAGAUCAAGAAGAGAGACAAACUCUGGGCCCUGGAAAAUAAAACGCGGUGCCCCCACCCCCCGACCUGAGAAACCAGCAGCUGUCACGUUUUCAGGAGUGAAUUACGGAAUGGCCUCUCCCCUUCUUUUGUGCUCCCCUAGGAGGCAGAGACAGUAAAUUCUUACUUCAUGGAAUUAAUUUCUAGGGUGUCUUAUUUUUUCCUCUCAUGUGGUUGCCUCAUAUAAACAGAUGGGGGAAAGGGCAAGAAUGAAUGGUGGGGAGCAGCUAUGCGGACUUACAAAUAUGAAAAUAUGAAGUGGAAUUUCGUGAAGGAAUCCAGGCGACCGGACAGAGGGGAGCGGCUGCCGUAUGAUCUCAGGGAGACGGACGGCCCAAGUGGACCACAACAAACCACGGGACGGCCUUGGGCUCUGCCCUUCUCGGGGCUGCCUCUUUUGCUCUGACUCAAAUGCUAGAAUUGUCUCUCGUGCUGCAAACAAGGCCCAUGGCACAGUCUGGGGUCAUCUUUCUUCCAGGCAGCUUUCUUCCCCUGGGAUUCUGUUGGGGCAGCUCUCUUUAAUUCCCCAAAGAGAACAACUGUCAGGGCUUCAUACAGGGU